rnacentral:tRNA from 1 species
CGGUUAGUGGUGGAAUGGAAGACACUCCAGCCUUAGGAGCUGGUGCUCGAAAGGGCGUGUGGGUUCGAGUCCCACCUUGCCGA